GAGGGUACAGCUCAGUGGUAGGGUGCGUGCUUAGCAUGCAUGAGGUCAUGGGUUCAGUUCCUAGUACCAUCA
rnacentral:tRNA from 1 species